UCUACCUGAGGGUCUGGAAUAACAUCGGGAAACUGGUGCUAAUGCCGGAUAAGACCACGAUGACUUCGGUCGACGAGGGAAAAGAUGGCCUCUCCUUGGAAGCUAUCGCCCAUGGAUGAGUCCGCGUCCCAUUAGCUUGUUGGCGGGGUAACGGCCCACCAAGGCUUCGAUGGGUAGCUGGUCUGAGAGGAUGAUCAGCCACACUGGAACUGAGACACGGUCCAG
rnacentral:rRNA from 1 species